CCAAUCACUCGUUUAAAAGCGAAAGAAA
rnacentral:snRNA from 1 species